rnacentral:rRNA from 1 species
UACGAGAGGCGCAAACGUUAUUCGGAUUUACUGGGCUUAAAGAGUUCGUAGGCGGCGCAGAAAGUAGGGUGUGAAAGCCCUCGGCUCAACCGAGGAAUUGCGCUCUAAACUACUGUGCUCGAGGGACCUAGAGGUGAGCGGAACUGAUGGUGGAGCGGUGAAAUGCGUUGAUAUCAUCAGGAACACCAGUGGCGAAGGCGGCAUCCUGGACCGAGAUUGACGCUGAGGCGCGAAAGCUAGGGUAGCAAACGGG